CCAGACUCCUACGGGAGGCAGCAGUGGGGAAUCUUCCGCAAUGGGCGAAAGCCUGACCCAGCAACGCCGCGUGAAGGAAGAAGGCUCUCGGGUUGUAAACUUCUUUUAUCAGGGACGAAGCAAGUGACGGUACCUGAUGAAUAAGCCACGGCUAACUACGUGCCAGCAGCCGCGGUAAUACGUAGGUGGCAAGCGUUAUCCGGAUUUACUGGGUGUAAAGGGCGUGUAGGCGGGAAAGCAAGUCAGAUGUGAAAACCAUGGGCUCAACCUGUGGCCUGCAUUUGAAACUGUUUUUCUUGAGUACUGGAGAGGCAGACGGAAUUCCUAGUGUAGCGGUGAAAUGCGUAGAUAUUAGGAGGAACACCAGUGGCGAAGGCGGUCUGCUGGACAGCAACUGACGCUGAGGCGCGAAAGCGUGGGGAGCAAACAGGAUUAGAUACCCGUGUAU
rnacentral:rRNA from 1 species